rnacentral:rRNA from 1 species
AUUGAACGCUGGCGGCAUGCCUUACACAUGCAAGUCGAACGGCAGCGGGGACUUCGGUCCGCCGGCGAGUGGCGAACGGGUGAGUAAUGUAUCGGAACGUACCUUUCAGUGGGGGAUAACGUAUCGAAAGUUACGCUAGUACCGCAUAUUCUCUGAGGAGGAAAGCAGGGGACCUUCGGGCCUUGGUCUGAUGGAGCGGCCGAUAUCAGAUUAGCUAGUUGGUGAGGUAAAGGCUCACCAAGGGGACGAUCUGUAGUGGGUCUGAGAGGAGGAUCCGCCACACUGGGACUGAGACACGGCCCAGACUCCUACGGGAGGCAGCAGUGGGGAAUUUUGGACAAUGGGCGCAAGCCGGAUCCAGCCAUGCCGCGUGAGUGAAGAAGGCCUUCGGGUUGUAAAGCUCUUUCGGACGGGAAGAAAUUGGUGGGGCUAAUAUCCCCAUCGGAUGACGGUACCGUAAUAAGAAGCACCGGCUAACUACGUGCCAGCCGCCGCAGUAAAAC